rnacentral:rRNA from 1 species
UACGGAGGGAGCGAGCGUUGUCCGGAAUCACUGGGCGUAAAGCGCACGUAGGCGGCUUUGCAAGUUAGAGGUGAAAGCCCGGGGCUCAACCCCGGGUCGGCCGUGCGAACUGCUGGGCUGGAGCACUGUAGAGGCAGGUGGAAUUCCGGGUGUAGCGGUGGAAUGCGUAGAGAUCCGGAAGAACACCGGUGGCGAAGGCGGCCUGCUGGGCAGUAGCUGACGCUGAUGCGCGACAGCGUGGGGAGCAAACAGG